GAUGAACGCUGGCGGCGUGCCUAAUACAUGCAAGUCGAGCGAACAGACGAGGAGCUUGCUCCUCUGACGUUAGCGGCGGACGGGUGGGUAACACGUGGAUAACCUACCUAUAAGACUGGGAUAACUUCGGGAAACCGGAGCUAAUACCGGAUAAUAUAUUGAACCGCAUGGUUCAAUAGUGAAAGACGGUUUUGCUGUCACUUAUAGAUGGAUCCGCGCCGCAUUAGCUAGUUGGUAAGGUAACGGCUUACCAAGGCAACGAUGCGUAACCGACCUGAGAGGGUGAUCGGCCACACUGGAACUGAGACACGGUCCAGACUCCUACGGGAGGCAGCAGUAGGGAAUCUUCCGCAAUGGGCGAAAGCCUGACGGAGCAACGCCGCGUGAGUGAUGAAGGUCUUCGGAUCGUAAAACUCUGUUAUUAGGGAAGAACAAAUGUGUAAGUAACUAUGCACGUCUUGACGGUACCUAAUCAGAAAGCCACGGCUAACUACGUG
rnacentral:rRNA from 1 species